UCCUUGGUGUCUCAGUGGUAAAGAAUCUGCCUGGCAAUGCAGGAGACACAGGUUCUACCCCUGAUCUGGGAA
rfam:TPA: Bos taurus chromosome 8, whole genome shotgun sequence.